rnacentral:rRNA from 1 species
GAGUUUGAACCUGGCUCAGGACGAACGCUGGCGGCGCGCCUAACACAUGCAAGUUGAACGGGGUUAUAGGAACAGCUUGCUGGGAAUAUAACUUAGUGGCGGACGGGUGAGUAACACGUGAGCAACCUGCCUUUCAGAGGGGAAUAACGUUUGGAAACGAACGCUAAUACCGCAUAACAUUGGGAUAUGGCAUCAUGACCCAAUCAAAGAUUUAUCGCUGAAAGAUGGGCUCGCGCCCGAUUAGGUAGUUGGUGAGAUAAUAGUCCACCAAGCCGACGAUCGGUAGCCGGACUGAGAGGUUGAACGGCCACAUUGGGACUGAGACACGGCCCAGACUCCUACGGGAGGCAGCAGUGGGGGAUAUUGCACAAUGGGGGGAACCCUGAUGCAGCGACGCCGCGUGAGGGAAGACGGUUUUCGGAUUGUAAACCUCUGUCUUUAGGGACGAAACAAGUGACGGUACCUAAAGAGGAAGCCACGGCUAACUACGUGCCAGCAGCCGCGGUAAUACGUAGGUGGCAAGCGUUGUCCGGAAUUACUGGGUGUAAAGGGAGCGUAGGCGGGAAUGCAAGUUGAAUGUUUAAACUAUGGGCUCAACCCAUAGUCGCGUUCAAAACUGCAUUUCUUGAGUGGAGUAGAGGCAGGCGGAAUUCCUAGUGUAGCGGUGAAAUGCGUAGAUAUUAGGAGGAACACCAGUGGCGAAGGCGGCCUGCUGGGCUCUAACUGACGCUGAGGCUCGAA